rfam:Anaerococcus vaginalis ATCC 51170 genomic scaffold SCAFFOLD1, whole genome shotgun sequence.
AAAAAUAGCUAGGGGUGCUUUUAGCUGAGAGAUGAUUUUUCAUCAACCCUUUAAACUUGAUUAGGUUAAAACCUGCGUAAGAAAGCGGCAAAUUUUAAAA